rnacentral:rRNA from 2 species
UACGUAGGGUGCGAGCGUUAAUCGGAAUUACUGGGCGUAAAGGGUGCGCAGGCGGUCUUGCAAGUCAGAUGUGAAAGCCCCGGGCUUAACCUGGGAAUUGCGUUUGAAACUACAAGGCUAGAGUGCAGCAGAGGGGAGUGGAAUUCCAUGUGUAGCAGUGAAAUGCGUAGAGAUGUGGAAGAACACCGAUGGCGAAGGCAGCUCCCUGGGUUGACACUGACGCUCAUGCACGAAAGCGUGGGGAGCAAACAGG